UUUCUCUUGUUACUGCACCAACCACAGACUGUAAAGGGGCAAGGAAUGGAGUAAGAAGACCAGUUAGGAGGCUACUGCAAUAAUCUAGCUGACUGAAAUAAAUAGAGGAAAGGAAGCAGCUGCAAAAAUUCUGGAAAAAAUAUCAUUCUUCAACACAUCUGAGUGGUGAGAUGGAAUGACUAAAGAUGAAAAUUCAAGAUGGCAACAUUUGAACAUAAAGGCUUAAAGGAAAAGCAACGGAGAAUCACGACAUUGGUAA